AAGGAUGAGAAGCUUCGAAUAAGGUUCGAUUCGAGCGAAAGCGAGAAAGCGUUGCCGCAGGCAACGACCCGAAGGGCGAAGCGCGCAGCGCUGAGUAAUCCUUCCCCCACCACCA
rnacentral:sRNA from 1 species